UACGUAGGGGGCGAGCGUUGUCCGGAUUUAUUGGGCGUAAAGAGCGUGUAGGCGGCCAGGUAGGUCUGCUGUGAAAACUCGAGGCUCAACCUCGAGACGUCGGCGGAAACCAUCUGGCUAGAGUCCGGAAGAGGAGAGUGGAAUUCCUGGUGUAGCGGUGAAAUGCGCAGAUAUCAGGAGGAACACCUGAGGUGAAGGCGGUUCUCUGGGCAUUACCUGACGCUGAGGAGCGAAAGUGUGGGGAGCGAACAGG
rnacentral:rRNA from 1 species